rnacentral:rRNA from 1 species
GAUGAACGCUGGCGGCGUGCCUAAUACAUGCAAGUCGAGCGAACAGACGAGGAGCUUGCUCCUCUGACGUUAGCGGCGGACGGGUGAGUAACACGUGGAUAACCUACCUAUAAGACUGGGAUAACUUCGGGAAACCGGAGCUAAUACCGGAUAAUAUAUUGAACCGCAUGGUUCAAUAGUGAAAGACGGUUUUGCUGUCACUUAUAGAUGGAUCCGCGCCGCAUUAGCUAGUUGGUAAGGUAACGGCUUACCAAGGCAAGGAUGCGUAGCCGACCUGAGAGGGUGAUCGGCCACACGGGAACUGAGACACGGUCCAGACUCCUACGGGAGGCAGCAGUAGGGAAUCUUCCGCAAUGGGCGAAAGCCUGACGGAGCAACGCCGCGUGAGUGAUGAAGGUCUUCGGAUCGUAAAACUCUGUUAUUAGGGAAGAACAAAUGUGUAAGUAACUAUGCACGUCUUGACGGUACCUAAUCAGAAAGCCACGGCUAACUACGUG